GUCAAUAUGUCAAUAUCGUGAAAUGAUGUACCUACCGACGGAGACUGGCUUUUAAAAUUUAAAUUAUUAAUAAUUUUAAAUCUCGAUAUGCUAAUGAAACCAAAAUAAUUUAAUUUCAAUUUCAAUCAUGCCGGUUGCCUGUGCAGCUUAUGGCUGUAGUAAUAGGCGUAAACCUGAUGGCGGGUUGUCUUUUUUUGGGUUUCCUUUGGACAAUCCUGAACUAUUAAAACAGUGGUUACAGGCAAUGAAAAGAAAACAAUUUACUCCUUCACAAUAUUCCAAAAUUUGUAGUGAACAUUUUUUAUCUAGUGACAUUUUAGAUAGACCUGGUACAUACAAAAAACAUUUAAAACCAGAUGCUGUUCCGACAUUAUUCCCUGCUAUGCCUUCAUAUUACCAACCAAUUCCCAAAAAGCCUAGACGUAUAGUUCAACGUACAAUACCAAAAGAAGUCACUGUAUUGAGAAGUAAUGAGAACCAUCAAGUUAUGUCAUCAUCUAAUGAAAAUAACACUGAAGUUGAAAUUUGUUCAAGUGUAUCAAUUGAAAAUCAAAAUCUUAAAAUUGAUAAAAGUGUUCAAACUGAAGAAAAGCUUCUAGAUCACAGUGUUAUUGCUUUGAGACACAAAGUAAAAAUUUUACAACAAAAAGUUAGGAGGCAACAGUUAAAAAUAUCAAAUUUGAAAUAUUUAACAAUAUCAUUAAAGAAGAAAGGUUUUGUUGAUGAUUCAAUAGAAAAUGUAUUACUUGCUCAAUUUAUUGGUAUGACAUUAGAACUUUUUAAAAACCAGCUUAAAAAUGCUAAAAAGCUUCCGCAUGGACGUAGAUAUACUGAUGAGUUGAAACGGUUUGCUUUAACAUUGCAUUAUAAUUCUCCUAAGGCUUAUAAUUUUUGUAGAAGUACAAUAACUUUGCCACACCCAUCAUAUUACGAUUGAUACAGUAUUUAUUUAUAUUAACUGAUCAAAAUGAUAAUCAUUUGUAUGUAGGAUCAUAUAGAAUUAUUAUUCUCUCGUAUAAGAAAAAGGUAUGGCCUAAAUAACAACCCAAAUGUACUCCAAUUUAAAAUUGCUAUGAAACAAAUAAUUUUAAAA